rfam:Salmo salar isolate Sally breed double haploid chromosome ssa21, whole genome shotgun sequence.
UACACGCAUUACUGUACGUCGCUUUGGAUAGAAGCGUCUGCUUAAUGGCAUAUA